rnacentral:rRNA from 1 species
ACAAAAAAUUUUUCUAAUUCUUCUUAAUUAUCAUCUAUAUAUUGAUCUAUCAUUAAAUUUAAAUUAAAUAUGUUAAAUUACAUUCAAAUAAUUCAUUAACAACUAUAUAUAAAAAAUAAAUUAAAUGAAAUUCAAAGUGUAAUUUCCACUUAAAGAACAAGAUUCUUUAAUAAUUAAGUACCGCCAAAUAAACUAACUUUAACUAUUACAUUAAUUACUAUUUAAAUUUCAUUAAUUUUUCUAGGGUAUCUAAUCCUAUUAACUUAAAUUAAUUAAAAUUGAAAAUUCAUAAUCAAAUUAAAAUCUAAAAAUUUCACUUAAAUAUUUUAAUUAAAAUCAAACCUAAAUUUCAAGUACAAAGAAAUUUUAAUUUCACCAAUCAUGUAUAACCG